AUUGAACGCUGGCGGCAUGCCUUACACAUGCAAGUCGAACGGUAACGCGGGGCAACCUGGCGACGAGUGGCGAACGGGUGAGUAAUGCAUCGGAACGUGCCUGGUAGUGGGGGAUAACUGCUCGAAAGAGCAGCUAAUACCGCAUACGACCUGAGGGUGAAAGCGGGGGAUCGCAAGACCUCGCGCAAUUGGAGCGGCCGAUGUCAGAUUAGGUAGUUGGUGGGGUAAAGGCCUACCAAGCCGACGAUCUGUAGUUGGUCUGAGAGGACGACCAGCCACACUGGGACUGAGACACGGCCCAGACUCCUACGGGAGGCAGCAGUGGGGAAUUUUGGACAAUGGGCGCAAGCCUGAUCCAGCAAUGCCGCGUGCAGGAAGAAGGCCUUCGGGUUGUAAACUGCUUUUGUCAGGGAAGAAAUCCUCUGGGUUAAUACCCCGGGGGGAUGACGGUACCUGAAGAAUAAGCACCGGCUAACUACGUGCCAGCAGCCGCCGUAAGAC
rnacentral:rRNA from 1 species